rnacentral:rRNA from 1 species
CCUACGGGAGGCAGCAGUGAGGAAUAUUGGUCAAUGGGCGUAAGCCUGAACCAGCCAAGUCGCGUGAGGGAUGAAGGUUCUAUGGAUCGUAAACCUCUUUUAUAAGGGAAUAAAGUGUGGGACGUGUCCUGUUUUGUAUGUACCUUAUGAAUAAGGAUCGGCUAACUCCGUGCCAGCAGCCGCGGUAAUACGGAGGAUCCGAGCGUUAUCCGGAUUUAUUGGGUUUAAAGGGUGCGUAGGCGGCCUUUUAAGUCAGCGGUGAAAGUCUGUGGCGCAACCAUAGAAUUGCCGUUGAAACUGGGAGGCUUGAGUAUGUUUGAGGCAGGCGGAAGGCGUGGUGUAGCGGUGAAAUGCUUAGAUAUCACGCAGAACCCCGAUUGCGAAGGCAGCCUGCCAAGCCAUGACUGACGCUGAUGCACGAAAGCGUGGGGAUCAAACAGGAUUAGAUACCCGGGUAGUC